GCGGUUGUGGCGGAAUCGGCAGACGCACCAUCUUGAGGGGGUGGCGAGCUACGCUCGUGUGGGUUCAAAUCCCACCAACCGCACCA
rnacentral:tRNA from 1 species